rnacentral:lncRNA from 10 species
GACCAGUCCUGGCCAGGGCAGUUACCAGGACGGUCUCCGGAGGCCGGGAUUCGCGGAGGGUCCGCCAGGAGGAAGAAACCUCAGACAGAUCGCCGGGGCCGCAGCGCGGGAUUCCAGCCUCAGGCGUGCACGGACGGUGUGCGGGAAGGGAGUGUAUCCUGGUGUAUGACAGCAUAUAGUAGAGACCAGUGUCAAUUAGGGCCUGUGAACUGAGACAGGGUGACUGGCUAAGUCCACAACCCAUUAGAAACCCAGAAAUAAUCAAAUCAUGAGGGAUCAUGGAAAGGAAGCUGAAUUUGCUGAGUUUUGCCACGUGGGCAUUGCAUGCCUAUGUGAUUAACCACCAAUAAAAACCUGGGACAUCAAAAAAUAAAUAAGCUGCUUUAAUUGCCAAGAAUUCACAUGUGGUUGUAUGCAGCAUUACUGGGAGAUUGAAGUGUAUCUGCAUGUGAUUCUACUGUGAUGGACACUUGUAAAUUUGUGCCUGGAGUCUCCUGGAAUUUGCCCUGAGAAUCUUUUUCCUUUGUUGAUAAGAAUCUGCAUCCUUUUGUUUUAAUAAACGAUAAACAUGAGUA